rnacentral:rRNA from 1 species
GAUGAACGCUAGCGGGAGGCUUAACACAUGCAAGUCGAGGGGCAUCACGAGGUAGCAAUACUUUGGUGGCGACCGGCGCACGGGUGAGUAACACGUAUGCAACCUACCCUGUACAGGGGGAUAACCCGGAGAAAUUCGGACUAAUAUCCCAUGCAAUUAUUGGAGGGCAUCCUUUGAUAAUUAAAGCUCAGGCGGUAUAGGAUGGGCAUGCGGAACAUUAGCUAGUUGGUAGGGUAACGGCCUACCAAGGCUACGAUGUUUAGGGGACCUGAGAGGGUUAUCCCCCACACUGGUACUGAGACACGGACCAGACUCCUACGGGAGGCAGCAGUGAGGAAUAUUGGUCAAUGGGCGCAAGCCUGAACCAGCCAUCCCGCGUGAAGGAAGAAGGCCCUAUGGGUUGUAAACUUCUUUUCCAGGGGGUGAAUAAUUCCGAUGUAUCGGGAGAUGACGGUACCCUGGGAUAAGCAUCGGCUAACUCCGUGCCAGCAGCCGCGGUAAACGUAGCGUG